rnacentral:lncRNA from 1 species
GUAGGAGGAGGAAGCCAAUGUGGGGGAGGCUCAUCUGAUGGAUCAGGGUUAGAAUUUAAGGGGUUAAGUGUGGGUUAGGAAAGGAGGAAAAGUUUCUUCCAGUAAGAGUGUCUGGUGUGCAGAGUAAGUUUGGCAGAGCAAGCCUGGCGUUGCCUCCCACAUAGAUAGUUAUCAAGGUAUUUUUUAGAAGGCAACACAAAGGGGUAUCUGCCAUCCUACUCCAAUCUCUCCGGAAAUCCACAAAAAACCCAGUCCUGUAGGACCUCCUAGGGAUCUGGGAUUCUCUAUGUGGCCCAACCAUGUCAGAGAAGGUUUUUCUGGGAAAUCAGGCAGGGGAAGAAAUUUUGGAGCCUGUAAUAAUUAUACUCUGCCAGAAUCUGAGAAAUUUAGAAGCCCAUUAUUUGUUCUAGUCAUUCAAGGUCAUUUAUAGAAAAGGAGACAUGAACCCUGAUGGGGGCCCUGGAUACUGGAUGGGGAAGGGCACCAGUUUGACAGCAGAUGUGAGGAGAUCUUUGCUGGGAAGGAGGUGAUUUUCUGCUGACUCUUCCCCUGAAGGGAAUCCUGCAAAUUAUUGUUAGUGUGCACUUGUGGAGGAGCAGAGGAAGAAAAAUUACUCUGAGUAUAAAUUCAGCUUUAACUCCAAGAGGCCCAAAGAGACUGCUUCACAAACAUUCAUCAGCAUUAGAGAGUCUCAUGAGGACAUCCCAGAUGUGAAAAAACCCUGGCCUUUUAUUUGUAACCCAGCUGUGAGAACAAAGGUACUGAAGAAAAACAUUUGUGUAGGAAUUUUUGUCAGAGGAAAGGGAAAGAACAAGAUGGUCUGCUGAGCAAGUUAAUGGAGCCAUGAAGAACACAAUGACUGGAGCAAACAUCUCUAAAAGUAACUUUGUUUUAUGAAUCUUGAACAUCUAUUGGUAUUUUCUCUGGACACAUUUGGUUUUGUUUGCUUUUUUUUUUUCCAGUACUAAGGAUAGAAUUCAAAACCUUCACACCGAGCUACAUUCCCAAUACUUUUUGUUUUUUAUUUUUUAUUUUUUUGGUACCAGAGAUUGACCUCGGGACCUUGCGCUUGUGAGGCAGGUGCCGGAACCACUGAGCUAAAUCCCUGGCCCUUUCUUUUUUAUGUUGAGCAGGGUAUCAUUAAGUUGUCGAGGCUGGGCUUGAACUUGUGAUUCUCCAGCUUCAGCUUUCCAGAGUACUGAGAUUUCAGGGAUGUGCCAAUAUAUCUGUCCUUGACAGAUUUGAUUUUUAUGUAAAAGUGUACAUUUACUAUGUAUACUUCAUUUACUAUGCUUGCAAUAUAACCCUAGAACAUUCUUUUAAUUUAACCAUUACAGUAAACAGUGUCAUUGUAAGAGCUUGCAUAUUACUUAAAAUUUAUAGCAAAUAGUAGUUUUGAACAAAGUGUUACUAAGGAUAUUUUUUAGUACUGUGGCA